rfam:Triticum urartu cultivar G1812 contig844050, whole genome shotgun sequence.
UAUGUACUCCCUCCGUCCGGAAAUACUUGUCUGAAGAAUGGAUGUAACUAGAUGUAUUUUAGUUCUAGAUACAUCCAUUUGUACUCAUUUCUACGACAAGUAUUUUCGGACGGAGGGAAUACUAG